GAUGAAGAACGCAGCGAAAUGCGAUAAGUAGUGUGAAUUGCAGACUUUAGUGAAUCAUCGAAUCUUUGAACGCACAUUGCGCCCCCUGGUAUUCCGGGGGGCAUGCCUGUCCGAGCGUCAUUGCUGCCCUCAAGCACGGCUUGUGUGUUGGGCCUCCGUCCUCCUCCCGGGGGACGGGCCCGAAAGGCAGCGGCGGCACCGCGUCCGGUCCUCGAGCGUAUGGGGCUUCGUCACCCGCUCUUGUAGGCCCGGCCGGCGCUUGCCGACACAUCAAUCUUUUUUCCAGGUUGACCUCGGAUCAGGUAGGGAUACCCGCUGAACUUAAGCAUAUCAAUAAGCGGAGGA
rnacentral:misc_RNA from 1 species